AAGAAGUUAUAUAACUAAGAGGACCGGAGA
rnacentral:piRNA from 1 species